rnacentral:rRNA from 1 species
CCUACGUGAGGCAGCAGUGAGGAAUAUUGGUCAAUGGGCGCGAGCCUGAACCAGCCAAGUCGCGUGAGGGAGGACGGCCCUACGGGUUGUAAACCUCUUUUGCCGGGGAGCAACGGGCGUCACGUGUGGCGCCCCUGAGAGUACCCGGAGAAAAAGCAUCGGCUAACUCCGUGCCAGCAGCCGAGGUAAUACGGAGGAUGCGAGCGUUAUCCGGAUUUAUUUGGUUUAAAGGGUGCGUAGGCGGAUCGUUAAGUCAGUGGUCAAAUUGAGGGGCUCAACCCCUUCCCGCCAUUGAAACUGGCGCUCUUGAGUGGAAGAGAAGUAUGCGGAAUGCGUGGUGUAGCGGUGAAAUGCAUAGAUAUCACGCAGAACCCCGAUUGCGAAGGCAGCAUGCCGGCUUCCGACUGACGCUGAAGCACGAAAGCGUGGGGAUCGAACAGGAUUAGAUACCCGGGUAGUC